AGAAAGCCCUUGUUUCCAUGUGUUUCAGCGAAGAUGGGUGUAAUGACAAGUUGCGGUCAGCGCUAUAGAUUUCUGAGGUCUGCCUCAGGAGGAAAAGUGGAGGCGGACAGGAGGAAAACCACCCACAGCUGCAGGCCAAAAGCAGGAGGCAGGCAUUCCGGCCGAGUCUCUGCUCCGGGGCCGAAUACCUCAAUCCUAAAACACAUCUUGUAGUAAUAAAGUAUUGUAAGAGCCAAAAGACCAGUACUGCGUCUCAUAAACAGAGGACAGAUCACACAGCUGUGAGCGAUUUACACUGCUAAUGUCUAAUUAUGGGAGGUAGAAAUGAGGAAACACUCUACAUCUCCACCUGACAGCAGACAGACGUCCUCAGCUGUCUCUGUAUGUAAAUGUA
rnacentral:lncRNA from 1 species